rnacentral:rRNA from 1 species
UUUUAAGAGAGUUUGAUCCUAGCUCAGGAUGAACGCUGGCGGCGUGGAUAAGGCAUGCAAGUAGAACGCCCAGCCCAUUCAGAAUUUUAUUGUAGUAUAAUGUUUAUUAUGUAUUAUCUAUAUUUGUUACGAAGAGAAUCAAAUUCUCGAGAGACAUAUAUUGGAUACACCAACGACCUGAAAAGGAGAUUGGAAGAACAUAAUAAACAUACAUCAACAGAACGAUCGUUUACUCAAGAAAGGGGCGAUUGGAAGUUGGUGUAUUAUGAAGCGUAUUCCGCGAAAGAAGAUUGUGUUGCGAGAGAAAAAUCUCUCAAGCAAUAUGGUUCAUCUCUCGGACAUCUUAAAAAAAGAAUACGCUUCAGUCUCUCAAUAGAAAAUUGAAUGGGCUGGGAGUUGCGAACGAGGUAGUAAUACAUAGGUACUCACCCCCGAGUCAGGAAUAACCUACCGAAAGGUAGGCUAAUACUUGAUAGUCCCGCAAGGGUAAAGAUUUAUCGCUUGGGGAGAGGCCUGUGCAGUAUCAGCUAGUUGGUAGGGUAAUGGCCUACCAAGGCAAUGACGCUUAGGAGAGCUGAGAGGCUGACCUCCACCGAUGGUACUGCGACACGGACCAUACACCUACGGGUGGCUGCAGUCGAGAAUCUUCCGCAAUGGACGCAAGUCUGACGGAGCGACGCCGCGUGACUGAUGAAGUCUUUCGGGAUGUAAAGGUCUUUUAUGAAGGAGAAAGUUUUGAUAGUACUUCAUGAAUAAGGGGUUGCUAAACUCGUGCCAGCAGCAGCGGUAAUACGAGUACCCCAAGCGUUAUCCGGAAUUAUUGGGCGUAAAGGGUAUGUAGGUUGUUAUGUUAGUCUCUUGUCAAAGCCUCCGGCUCAACCGGAGAAUUGCGGGGGAAACGGCAUAACUAGAGGGCGUGAGAGGUUUGCGGAACUCAUGGUGUAGGGGUGAAAUCCGUUGAUAUCAUGGGGAACACCAAAAGCGAAGGCAGCAAACUGGCACGUUUCUGACGCUGAAAUCCGAAAGCGUAGGUAGCGAAUGGGAUUAGAUACCCCAGUAGUCUACGCCCUAAACGAUGAUAUCUAGCUUUUCGGAGUAUCGACCCUCUGAGAGGCACAGCUAACGCGUUAAGAUAUCCGCCUGGGAAGUACGACCGCAAGGUUAAAACUCAAAGGAAUAGACGGGGACUUGCACAAGCGGUGGAUCAGGUGGCUUAAUUCGAUGGUAAACGAAGAACCUUACCAAGGUUAGAAAUCCCAACGACGAAUAGUAGAAAUAUUAUUCUUUCGCAAGAACGGUGGGACAGGUGAUGCAUGGCCGUCGUCAGUUCGUGGUUUGAGCUGUUCCCU